rnacentral:tRNA from 1 species
UGUUAAGGUGGCAGAGCCCGGUAAUUGCGUAAAACUUAAAACUUUAUAGUCAGAGGUUCAACUCCUCUCCUUAACAU